GUCUCUUAGAAAUUAUUAAGAGUCAGGCCUGCCCAGUGAUUGCUUUAUUUAACGGCCGCGGUACCCUGACCGUGCAAAGGUAGCAUAAUCAUUUGCCUUUUAAUUGGAGGCUGGUAUGAAUGGUUCGACGAGAGUAAAGCUGUCUCAUACACAUUAACUAGAAACUAAUUUAAAGGUGCAAAAGCCUUUAUAAAACAAAAAGACGAGAAGACCCUAUUGAGCUUUAAUUUUAAUGUGCACUAACUUUAUAUUUAUAUAACUAUUUGCUCAAUAAAAAUUUUAAUUGGGGCGAUUAAGGAACACAAUGAAGCUUCCUGAUUUUAAUAUUAAAUGUUUAUAAAUUAAAUCGAUCCAGCAAUGCUGAUCAACAAAAUGAGUUACCAUAGGGAUAACAGCAUAAUUCUUUUUCAGAGCUCAUAUCGAAAAAAGAGAUUGUGACCUCGAUGUUGGACUAGGGUAACGGGAAGGUGUAGCAGCUUUCUUGUUUGGUCUGUUCGACCAAUAAUUCCCU
rnacentral:rRNA from 2 species